rnacentral:rRNA from 1 species
UACGGAGGGUGCAAGCGUUGUUCGGAAUUAUUGGGCGUAAAGCGUGUCUCGGUGGGUAGAUAAGUCAGGUGUUAAAGAUCCCGGCUUAACUGGGAGAAUGCGUUUGAUACUGUCUAUCUUGAGUUGGGGAGGGAUGAGUGGAAUUCCUGGUGUAGCAGUGAAAUGCGUAGAGAUCAGGAGGAACACCUGUGGCGAAAGCGACUCAUUGGCCCUAAACUGACACUGAGACACGAAGGCGUGGGUAGCAAACAGG